rnacentral:rRNA from 1 species
UACGAAGGGGGCUAGCGUUGCUCGGAAUCACUGGGCGUAAAGCGCACGUAGGCGGCUUUCUAAGUCAGGGGUGAAAUCCUGGAGCUCAACUCCAGAACUGCCUUUGAUACUGGAAAGCUCGAGUCCGGGAGAGGUGAGUGGAACUCCGAGUGUAGAGGUGAAAUUCGUAGAUAUUCGCAAGAACACCAGUGGCGAAGGCGGCUCACUGGCCCGGUACUGACGCUGAGGCACGAAAGCGUGGGGAGCAAACAGG